rnacentral:rRNA from 1 species
UACGUAGGGUGCGAGCGUUAAUCGGAAUUACUGGGCGUAAAGCGUGCGCAGGCGGUUCGUGAUGUCUGGUGUGAAAGCCCCGGGCUUAACCUGGGAAUGGCAUUUGGGACUGCAAGGCUGGAGUUUGGCAGAGGAGACUGGAAUUCCCGGUGUAGAGGUGAAAUUCGUAGAUAUCGGGAGGAACACCAGUGGCGAAGGCGGCUUUCUGGACAUUUACUGACGCUGAGACGCGAAAGCGUGGGGAGCAAACAGG